CCUACGGGAGGCAGCAGUAGGGAAUCUUCCGCAAUGGACGAAAGUCUGACGGAGCAACGCCGCGUGAGUGAUGAAGGUUUUCGGAUCGUAAAACUCUGUUGUUAGGGAAGAACAAGUACCGUUCAAAUAGGGCGGUACCAUGACGGUACCUAACCAGAAAGCCCCGGCUAACUACGUGCCAGCAGCCGCGGUAAUACGUAGGGGGCAAGCGUUGUCCGGAAUUAUUGGGCGUAAAGCGCUCGCAGGCGGUCUUUUAAGUCUGAUGUGAAAGCCCACGGCUUAACCGUGGAGGGUCAUUGGAAACUGGAGGACUUGAGUACAGAAGAGGAGAGUGGAAUUCCACGUGUAGCGGUGAAAUGCGUAGAGAUGUGGAGGAACACCAGUGGCGAAGGCGACUCUCUGGUCUGUAACUGACGCUGAGGAGCGAAAGCGUGGGGAGCGAACAGGAUUAGAUACCCUGGUAGUCCACGCCGUAAACGAUGAGUGCUAGGUGUUAGGGGGUUUCCGCCCCUUAGUGCUGAAGUUAACGCAUUAAGCACUCCGCCUGGGGAGUACGGCCGCAAGGCUGAAACUCAAAUGAAUUGACGGGG
rnacentral:rRNA from 1 species